rnacentral:piRNA from 1 species
UCCUGUUGGUGGCAGCGAGGAUGA